CAUGUUUCGGUUCGCCGCCUCUUUGUCCAUGAUGUGGCAGAGGUACGAAUAGACGUGGUCAAUAUCUAGCCUUCCGUCGCGAUCUAAAUCGAUCAAGCGGUAGAUCAAGUAGUUUGACAACUUCUGCGGUUCGCGCCGGCGCAUCCCGCACUUCGCAAACGCGUACAGCAGAGCGAAGUCUGAAAGUGCCAGCCUGCCAUCUCCGUCUUCGUCCACUUCCCACAGGAAAGCUUCCGCCUCGGCCUUGGUCACGCGGAUCCCGUCCCGGAGCAUGCUCCGACGAAGGUCUUCCGGGCUGAGCCACCCGUCGCGAUCAUCAUCCAAUUCCGCAAACACUUGCCGAAUCAGCGCAAGCUCCUGCGGCAUCAGCAGAGUUUCGGCUGUGAAACAUCCGCCCUCCGGGCAAGAACCCGAGAGAGGCUGCGGUUUCAUCUCGAGCAAAGAAGGCAAAUUCCGCAAAGAGUAGGGAUCGGCAGAGUUGCCGGGCAACUACUUCGAGAUCCGCGUGUCCACUGAAAGGUGUCAGUCCAUCCUUUUUUCUUCUGCAAGCUGCAUAGAAGUAGUUUUAUGUAAUAAAACUUGCAUUUAAAUGGAUCUAGCAACCCUGGAGAAACUAGGUACCGCGCUCUGCUUAAAGUUGCCUUUUAUCCUCGGGUGGUAAUAACGGCUCCUAAGCUUGUAGUAUCAUUGAUCGGAAUGUUCUUCUCGCAAUUGCCAUUUGCUACGACUCGAAAAACCCGUAUACCGUCCACUUCGCCUGGACAGCAGUGUGCAACGAUAGUGAAUGUCAAAUAUCGAGCCUGGACAUCCGUUACUUUCCGGUGAAACAGCUCACCGCAAACGCUGGAAGAGUGCUCUUUCACCUUGGAUCACUUCGAGGUCUCUACCGGUCUAAAAGGGCGAAAAUGCCGCGUUUCGGUUCUGUAAGGCAAAAGACCCACUUCAUUUCCCCACACGAUUGGGCAUGGUCGAGUCGCCCGGUGGUUUUUCUGCAAACAAGUAAGUUUCCUGUUUGUAGGGGAUCAUUAUUAUGCACACACAACAUGCGGAAUGCUUCCUGUCGCAAAGUAAGAAGACGAGAUGCUCUGCUGCAUUUCCUUUCGAGACAAAAGAAGCACACAGCCAAUGCUUGCUUCAAUCCUCGCUAUCCCGCGUGUGCCGAUCCCUGCAUUUCACUUUACAAAGCAAAGAAAACGACUUUCAAGUUACGUGACCGACGUCAGGCAGCCCUGGUGAACCCUCGAAGUCGGGGCUUCAUGCACAGACUGUGGGACGCGUUCACGGCUUUUUCGGGAUCAAUUUUUGUUGAACAAUUAAAGAAAAUGACCCGCUGUCACUCC
rnacentral:lncRNA from 1 species